UACAGAGGGUGCGAGCGUUAAUCGGAAUUACUGGGCGUAAAGCGCACGUAGGCGGCUUGGUAUGUCGGGUGUGAAAUCCCCGGGCUUAACCUGGGAACUGCGCUUGUUACUGGCAAGCUGGAGUGUGGCAGAGGGGGGUGGAAUUCCACGUGUAGCAGUGAAAUGCGUAGAGAUGUGGAGGAACACCGAUGGCGAAGGCAGCCCCCUGGGCUAACACUGACGCUCAUGCACGAAAGCGUGGGGAGCAAACAGG
rnacentral:rRNA from 1 species